UACAGAGGUCCCAAGCGUUGUUCGGAUUUACUGGGCGUAAAGCGCACGUAGGCGGGUUGUUAAGUCAGGGGUGAAAUCCUGGAGCUCAACUCCAGAACUGCCUUUGAUACUGGCAACCUAGAGGCUGGAAGAGGUUAGUGGAAUUCCCAGUGUAGAGGUGAAAUUCGUAGAUAUUCGCAAGAACACCAGUGGCGAAGGCGGCCCCCUGGUCGGAUACUGACGCUGAGACGCGAAAGCGUGGGGAGCAAACAGG
rnacentral:rRNA from 1 species